GAUGAAAGAUGGCGGCGUGCCUAAUACAUGCAAGUCGAGCGAACAGACGAGGAGCUUGCUCCUCUGACGUUAGCGGCGGACGGGUGAGUAACACGUGGAUAACCUACCUAUAAGACUGGGAUAACUUCGGGAAACCGGAGCUAAUACCGGAUAAUAUAUUGAACCGCAUGGUUCAAUAGUGAAAGACGGUUUUGCUGUCACUUAUAGAUGGAUCCGCGCCGCAUUAGCUAGUUGGUAAGGUAACGGCUUACCAAGGCAACGAUGCGUAGCCGACCUGAGAGGGUGAUCGGCCACACUGGAACUGAGACACGGUCCAGACUCCUACGGGAGGCAGCAGUAGGGAAUCUUCCGCAAUGGGCGAAAGCUUGACGGAGCAACGCCGCGUGAGUGAUGAAGGUCUUCGGAUCGUAAAACUCUGUUAUUAGGGAAGAACAAAUGUGUAAGUAACUAUGCACGUCUUGACGGUACCUAAUCAGAAAGCCACGGCUAACUACGUG
rnacentral:rRNA from 1 species